CAGGGCUUUAAGUCUAAAAUACCGAACUUGUCCUUUAAAGCAUCUUUAAACUUUAAAAACAUGUUGUUUGUCGUGACUCUACAUUGUAAUACUCACCCGGUUACAGUAAUUUGUGUAAUGUUGGACAUACGAUGAAACAACACGACAUUGAUACAGCAAUUUGACCUCACAAACAUUUUAAUCAGCAGAUUAGUGUGCUUUGAGUACACCACAGUUCUGUAAGUGAAAAAUUAAUUCAUAUUUAUGUGUGUUUCUUUCUCAGUAAGGACUAACUUUAACUGACUUUCUGUCUGUCUGUCUGUUCUCAACCAAACGGUCAUUCAAGACCUUUUAAAGCAAAAACAUUUCCCGUGCAAGUUUGAAUCUCUCUCAGUAAGGACGUAUUGACUGGCUGUCUGUUCUCGACCAAACGGUCAUUCUUACUCAUAAAAAACUUUUAAAGCACAAGUGUGUCCCGCGCAAGUUUGAAUUUCUCUCAGUAAGGACUGACGGACGGCCAUUCACUCAUAAAAGCUUUUAAAGCACAAGUGUUUCCCGCGCAAAUUAGAAUUUCUCUCAGUAACGACUGACGGAUGGCCAUUCACU